AAUAAAUAAACUUAAAAAAAAAAAAAGUGAGGUCUGGAGAAGGCUGACUGCUCUCAGUCAGAGGAGAGCCAGAAACUAGGAUUCUGUUGUUCCCCAGACUAAACCCCCCAACUCAGGGCAAACAGAACCUGCUGAGAAUUCAGGCUUAUCAGAAAUAAUAAAAGCAAAGCCCAGGGUUUAAGUGGUGCUAUUUUAAACAUUUAACCCCAUGGAAGCCUGAGCUUUCUUUAAACAUUGUUUGCAGGAGUGGGGGAAAGGCCGGCAAGGCCUCCUUCUAGAGUCCGGAGCUAUGGUGGGUAAACUGGAAAAUUACCCACCCGGAGGAGGGCCCUCCCAUUCCAGAGUAGCUGGCGGCCUGAGGCAGCGGGCUCUCCCUACACAAGGGUGUGAAGGAACUAUGCCAGGCGUGGCCUCAGUGCAAUUACCCACCUGUUUCUGGGCUAAGCGCUGGCGAGACAGGGGCCUGGGCGCAGCUGAGGCCUUUUUGGCAGUCCCUGGAGGGGUUGGGAUGGGCUGGGUUGCUGCUUGCCUGCCCACAGGUUCUGCCUGGAGAAAUUUCAGCUCCUGGGAGUCACCUACAUGUAUAUCAUCUCUGCUUGGGGCCCUGGCUCCUGCGGGUAGGUUGGGUGGGGGACCUCCAGCUCUCAUUUCCUGCUCACAAUAACCUCUGAGGCCCCAACGGCCGCCCACAUCCCUAUUUCUCUGAUCUCCUUUUCUGCUCACCUUUCCUCCUCACUCACUCUGCUCCGGCCACGCUAAUCACCGGGCCUCCCCUAACUCACGGGCUCUGCUCUUGGUCUGGAGCCUUGCACCGGCUAUUCCCUCCACCUGGAAUAUUUUCCUGCCAGAUGCUGCUUGGCCCCCUCCCUCACUUCUUGUUUCAGAUGCUGCCACUCAGGCUUAUAUUGAUCAACCCCUUUUAAGUAGCUUCCCUCUCCCCAAACCUUCGCCAGCAGUUGCCAGACAUCCCCUUCCCUGGUGCUUCCUCCCCACCUUCCGCCACCGUAGCUUUACUGUCUUUUUAUAUACCAAUUACUGUCCCUUCUACUAGAUGGUAAGCUCCGUGAGAAUGGAAUUUCGUCGCUGGUUCCCCAAUAUUGGGCAACCUUGAGUAGGAAUGGAGAGCCUCUUUCCCAGAAAAGAAACACCUGGCCUCAAGUGCUUAAAGGCCCUAGGUAACCGCUGGUGGUGGGCGGAGCCAGAGCGUGAGCGUCGCCUGCCCACCGGCCCAUGGCUCCCUGCCUUCCUCUCUUAACCCAAGUUUUCACCGUGUACCUGGGACUCGGAGGCUGCUGCCUGGACGAGAGCCUAUACUUUGUGGCUAAAGAUUAAAAAAAAACAAACUUUUUCUCUUAAAUGACUUAGAGCAAUUUGAUAGAAUACUACCACUGGAACAAAUUGAAACUUGCAUCUUUUUCUCUACCUGAACCCUCCAGAAUUCAGAAACUCUCAAGGGAAGAGGAGCAGAUGGGAUUUGCUUAAAUUUCUUCUGUUCAAAAGAGACCAUCACUACUGUUGCAAAGAGAGGAAUAUACAUUAGAUGCCCACAUCCUGACUAGCAAGAGCACGGACACGCUUCCGGAGGAUAAAAUCAGCAGAAGGUAGCAAAGACUGUUGUCAAACACCUGCAGUGCCUCAAAUCUGCUACUACCUGAAUCCCUACAGAGAUGACUAACCAAGGAGAAGAGGCAGAUUCCUCUGACAGCAAGGCUGUUUCCCUUCUCAAGUGAGGCCAGAGACAGCAAGGAAAACACAGUGACUCCACAGGCACAUUAGGAUGUGGCCCAGUUACCUUCUGAAAACUGAAUCCCGAUGGACUAGCCUUGACUAGUCUUCUAACACCUUUAGAACCCAGCCCAAACAGUGAAAUGUAAGACACAUAUUUCUGCAGUUGCAUUUGAAUUUUUUUUUAGUUGAAAUAACAAGAUGGUGUAUAUGGUAAUUAUUCUUCAUAAAAGUUUGAAAGUAUCUAAUAUCUAAAAGCUAUAAAGAACUUAUCAAGUUCAACACCCAAAAAACAAAUAGUUAAGAAACGUAAAGAAGAUAUGAACACUUUUCCAAAGAAGACAUCCAGAUGACAAACAGACACAU